CUAGGGUAUAGGCUGUCAUUACGAGUACAUAACUAGGGUACGUAACUAGGGUAUUGGAGUCAUUAAGGGUACAUAACUAGGGUAUUGGAGUAAUUAAGGGUACAUAACUAGGGUAUUGGAGUCAUUAAGGGGUACGUAACUAGGGUAUUGGAGUCAUUAAGGGUACGUAACUAGGGUACGUAACUAGGGUAUUGGAGUCAUUAAGGGCACGUAACCAGGGUACGUAACUAGGGUAUUAGAGUCAUUAAGGGUAUUCAUUAAGGGUACGUAACUAGGGUAUUGGAGUCAUUAAGGGUACAUAACUAGGGUAUUGGAGUCAUUAAGGGUACGUAACUAGGGUAUUGGAGUCAUUAAGGGUACGUAACCAGGGUAUUGGAGUCAUUAAGGGUACGUAACUAGGGUAUUGGAGUCAUUAAGGGUACAUAACUAGGGUAUUAGGGUCAUUAAGGGUACGUAACCA
ensembl:lncRNA